CGGAGUGUCGGUAAGUGGCAUACCACUCGCUUUGGGAGCGAGAUUUCAAGUGUUCGAUUCACUUCACUCCGACCA
rnacentral:tRNA from 1 species